rnacentral:RNase_P_RNA from 1 species
GAGGAAAGUCCGGGCUCUAUUUAUAGAUAAUUUGUUGUAUAAUAUACAAUGUAGGAAACUAUGAGGAGAGUGCCACAGAAAUAUACCGCCUUAUUAAAGGUAAGGGUGCAACGGUUCGUUAAGAGCGCACCAGGAAUAUUGUCAAGAUAUUUGCUAGGUAAACCCCGUUUUAGAGCAAAGUAACUGGUGUAUAUAAAAUGGAUGAUAUUUAUAAGCUUCAUUUAUAUGACAUUUUAUUUUUAUAAUACUGCAUUAAGUAAAGUUUUUACUUUAGAUUAAUAAUUACCCUUGUUAUAUUAUUCAUUAAUUUAUUUUGAUUUGGAUCAAGAACAAAACCCGGCUUAU